CAAAAGAUAAGCUAAGAAUUAAGCUAAUGGGUUCAUACCUCAUUUAUGGAUAGUUAUUCCUCUUUUUA
rnacentral:tRNA from 1 species